rnacentral:rRNA from 1 species
CUCUAUGGCCAUGCCACUCUGAACAAGCCCAAUCCCAUCUGAUCUCGGAAUCUAAGCAGGGUCAGGCCUGGUUAGUACUUGGAUGGGAGACCACCUAGGAAGACCAGGUGCUGUGGGCG